UCAUCGGAGCAUCGGAGACAGGUGGUGCAUGGUAGUCGUCAGCUCGUGUCGUGAGAUGUUGGGUUAAGUCCCGCAACGAGCGCAACCCUUAUGCUUAGUUGCCAGCACAUUAUGGUGGGCACUCUAAGCAGACUGCCUGUGACAAACCGGAGGAAGGUGCGGAUGACGUCAAAUCAUCAUGCCCCUUAUGACCUGGGCUACACACGUACUACAAUGGCCCGUACAACGGGCUGCGAAAUCGCAAGGUGGAGCGAAUCCGAACAAAGCCGGUCUCAGUUCGGAUUGCAGGCUGCAACUCGCCUGCAUGAAGUCGGAAUUGCUAGUAAUCGCGGAUCAGCAUGCCGCGGUCAAUACGUUCCCGGGUCUUGAACACACCGCCCGUCAGACCUCCAGAGUUUACAACACCCGUAGUCGGUGGGGUAACCCGCAAGGGUGCCAGC
rnacentral:rRNA from 1 species